UUCCGACAAUGUGUGAGCCGCCUAAUCGAGCGAGGAUUCGCCGCUCAUCCUAAGAGGACUCGCCGCUCUUCCAUGACGCCGCCGCUGCAACGCGGCGUUGUUCCAGCACCAAAUCGCAGAUGCAUCUUUGCAAAUCCAACAAAGUGGUGGGAAUAUCUACAACAUGAAGUUUCUCAAGCUGAUAGGGCAUUCUUCUGCAUGUUUGUGACAUGAUCAUGGUGCACAUAUAUUUAAUAGUGAAGGUCUUCGGCUAUCACUAUGAAUGGUUCUGCUGUUGUGUAAGUGAUUUCUUAAGUGUUGUGUUGUAACACAUUAGAGUAAAAGAUUAAUUGUGUAUGAAGAAUAAUAUUACGGAGUCAGGCAGAAUUUGACCUUAGUUCUGACCAAAUUAAUCUUUAUUUGUUUGCUAGGUUGUGUGUCAAACAUCACUUCAUGUUGUAGUGCAUUUUUUCCUUUCAGAAUCCACAUUAUGCAAUUUGGCUUUAUAAGAAGUUUCACUUUAUUAUUAGUGGAGAACGGGAGAUAAGGAAAGGGAAGGGAAAAACAGUAAUUCUAGCAACUAGCCAUUGUUCCGUGGCAAAACACAGGUGUUUGUUCUAUUAUGUUCAUCGGAAGUCUUUACGGAGGAGUUGGGUCUGGUUCUUCAUGUUUUCCCAUAUCGUCUGCUCUAUAGAAGCUGCUACCUCAAAUUAAG